AAGGUGGACGAAGAAGAUGUGGUGUCGCACAUCCUUGCUGGGCUGGAGGAGGAGUUCGAUCCCUGUGGUGUCUGCCAUGUGCUCACGGGUCGAACCGGUGAUUGUCCCGGAGCUGUACUCACGGCUACUGAGCUUCGAGA
rnacentral:snoRNA from 1 species